rnacentral:rRNA from 1 species
GUGGAUUAGAUACCCUAGUAGUCCACGCCGUAAACGAUGUCAACUUGGAGUCUGUGCCAUAGAGCGUGGGCUCCGAAGCUAACGCGAUAAGUUGACCGCCUGGGGAGUACGGCCGCAAGGUUAAAACUCAAAUGAAUUGACGGGGGCCCGCACAAGCGGUGGAGCAUGUGGUUUAAUUCGAUGCAACGCGAAGAACCUUACCUGGCCUUGACAUGCUGAGAAUUCUGUAGAGAUACGGAAGUGCCUUCGGGAACUCAGACACAGGUGCUGCACGGCCGUCGACAACU